rnacentral:rRNA from 1 species
GAUGAACGCUGGCGGCGUGCCUAAUACAUGCAAGUCGAGCGAACGGACGAGAAGCUUGCUUCUCUGAUGUUAGCGGCGGACGGGUGAGUAACACGUGGAUAACCUACCUAUAAGACUGGGAUAACUUCGGGAAACCGGAGCUAACACCGGAUGAUAUUUUGAGCCGCAUGGUUCAAAAGUGAAAGACGGUCUUUCUGUCACUUAUAGAUGGAUACGGGCUGCAUUAGCUAGUUGGUAAGGUAACGGCUUACCAAGGGAACGAUGCAUAGCCGAACUGAGAGGGUGAUCGGCCACACUGGAACUGAGACACGGUCAAGACUCCUACGGGAGGCAGCAGUAGGGAAUCUUACGCAAAGGGCGAAAGCCUGACGGAGCAACGCCGCGUGAGUGAUGAAGGUCUUCGGAUCGUAAAACUCUGUUAUUAGGGAAGAACAUAUGUGUAAGUAACUGUGCACAUCUUGACGGUACCUAAUCAGAAAGCCACGGCUAACUACGUG